UGCCAGCAGCCGCGGUAAUACGGAGGGUACGAGCGUUAAUCGGUGUUAUUAGGCGUAAAGAGUACGUAGGUUAAAAUUUAAAGAAAAAAUUAAAUAGCAAAGCAUAACUUUGGAAAUGUUUUUUCUGAAAAAUUUAUAGAGUUUAAUAGAAAAUAGUGGAAUUGCUAAUGUAAAGUUAAAAUUUAAAGAUAUUAGCAGGAAUAUCAAAAGCGAAGGCACCUAUUUAAAUUAAAACUGACACUGAGGUACGAAAGUAUAGGUAGCAAACAGGAUUAGAUA
rnacentral:rRNA from 1 species